GAGCUGGAAGCUUAUAUAGCAUUGGUCUUGUAAAUCAAAGAUAGAACUUAUUUUCCCAGCUCU
rnacentral:tRNA from 1 species